AUUGAACGCUGGCGGCAUGCUUUACACAUGCAAGUCGAACGGCAGCACGGGUGCUUGCACCUGGUGGCGAGUGGCGGACGGGUGAGUAAUACAUCGGAACGUGUCCUGAAGUGGGGGAUAACGCAUCGAAAGAUGUGCUAAUACCGCAUAUUCUCUGAGGAGGAAAGUAGGGGAUCGAAAGACCUUAUGCUUUUGGAGCGGCCGAUGUCUGAUUAGCUAGUUGGUAAGGUAAUGGCUUACCAAGGCGACGAUCAGUAGUUGGUCUGAGAGGACGACCAGCCACACUGGGACUGAGACACGGCCCAGACUCCUACGGGAGGCAGCAGUGGGGAAUUUUGGACAAUGGGCGCAAGCCUGAUCCAGCAAUGCCGCGUGAGUGAAGAAGGC
rnacentral:rRNA from 1 species